rnacentral:sRNA from 1 species
GCCGGGCACAGUGGCGCACACCUGUAAUCCCAGCAACUCAGGAGGCUGAGGCAGGAGGAUCUCGAGUUCAAAGCAAGCCUCAGGAUUAAUGAGGCACUUAGCAACUUAUGGAGACCCUGUCUCUA